rnacentral:rRNA from 1 species
GACGAACGCUGGCGGCGUGCUUAACACAUGCAAGUCGAACGGAAAGGCGCUGCUUUUGUGGGGUGCUCGAGUGGGGCACGGGUGAGUAACACGUGAGUAACCUGUCCUUGUCUUUGGGGUAACAUCAGGAAACUGGGGAUAAUAUCGGAUAGGAGCUCCUGCUGCAUGUUGGGGGUUGGUAAGUUUCGGCGGUUGGGGAUGGACUCGCGGCUUAUCAGCUUGUUGGUGGGGUAGUGGCUUACCAAGGCUUUGACGGGUAGCCGGCCUGAGAGGGUGACCGGCCACAUUGGGACUGAGAUACGGCCCAGACUCCUACGGGAGGCAGCAGUGGGGAAUAUUGCACAAUGGGCGGAAGCCUGAUGCAGCAACGCCGCGUGCGGGAUGACGGCCUUCGGGUUGUAAACCGCUUUCGCCUGUGACGAAGCGUGAGUGACGGUAAUGGGUAAAGAAGCACCGGCUAACUACGUG